rnacentral:rRNA from 1 species
GCAUGUCGUACGAACCGCUUCUGCGGUUAGUGGCAAAUGGGUGAGUAACACGUACUUAACUUACCCUCAAAUCUGGGAUAACUACGGGAAACUGUAGCUAAUACCGGAUACGAUGUAGUUUCGCAUGAAACUAUAUUGAAAGGUGGAGUAAUCCACCGAUUGAGGAUGGGAGUGCGCAAUAUUAGCUUGUUGGUAGGGUAAAAGCCUACCAAGGCGAUGAUAUUUAGCGGGGCUGAGACACGGCCC